CCUCCCCUAACUCCCCAAAACAUUGGGAAGAUGGGCCUUCUGUCCUGGAAGGGCCAGUCUCCUGGGCAGAGCGCUAUGCAUAAGAAGGAAAGCCGUGUUACUCAAUGGUUCUACUGAACCACUAAGCAACAGGGGCUCUGGGGGCACUGUGGAGAUAGAGAACCCUUAGGAAGGCGAUGCUGGAUCCUAUGGGUCUCAACAGAGGGCCUUACGGGUAGGCCCUGUAGGAGGGACUGGGAGGCACAGGUCCCAGGAACACGUGUGCUGGGCACACGGCCACUGUAACAACCAACCACGAAUGGGAGGCUCAACACAACUGAAACGCACGUCCUCACAGUCCUGGAGGCCCGAACUCCAAAACCAAGGCGCCAGCAGGGCCACGCUUCCUCCACGGAGCCUCGGGGAGCAGACGGUCUUGAGACGAGACUUGCUCCCGCAACCCUUUCCCAGCUGCAGCUGCCUCUCCGCCAUCUCUGCCUCCGUGGCCACGCGGCAUCUUCUCCCUGGCAUGGGCUGAACCACCGCAUCUCGGGCAGGGAAGAAAAAAAUGCUGGCAACUAAACCGUGAGGUCCCUUCAAGAGUAAAAUGGAACCUAAGAGGAAGACGGAACCUAACAGAGAUGUCGGGAGGAGAAGCAGCAUGCAUCUUAGAAUUGAUAAGCACGAUACAUGACGACAGGUGUUUUGGUU
rnacentral:lncRNA from 1 species